UUCCCCUAGUAACUGCGAGUGAAGCGGGAAAAGCUCAANUUUAAANUCNGGCGNUCUUUGGCUGUCCGAGUUGUANUCUAGAGAAGUGUUAUCCNCGCUGGACCGUGUACAAGUCUCCUGGAAUGGAGCGUCAUAGAGGGUGAGAAUCCCGUCUUUGACACGGACUNCCAGGNCUUUGUGAUGCGCUCUCAAAGAGUCGAGUUGUUUGGGAAUGCAGCUCAAAAUGGGUGGUAAAUUCCAUCUAAAGCUAAAUAUUGGCGAGAGACCGAUAGCGAACAAGUACCGUGAGGGAAAGAUGAAAAGAACUUUGGAAAGAGAGUUAAACAGUACGUGAAAUUGCUGAAAGGGAAACGCUUGAAGUCAGUCGCGUUGGCCGGGGAUCAACCUUGCUUUUGCUGGGCGUACUUUCCGGUCGACGGGUCAGCAUCAAUUUUGACCGUUGGAUAAAGGCUGAGGGAAUGUGGCUCCUUCGGGAGUGUUAUAGCCCUUGGUCGCAUACAACGAUUGGGAUUGAGGAACUCAGCA
rnacentral:rRNA from 1 species